UGUUGCAUUUCCACUGAAGCCAGCUGGCAGGGACGGCUGCACGGACGCUCGGGUCGGAGCCACUGACUUUGGAUGGGCUGCCAGAGCUGGGUGAAGGCAUGGCUCACCACGAGCCCUGCAGCACUGGACCUGUCACGCUGAUGUCACCACGCAGCCUCAGCCCCAGGGAGCCAGGAGACACUUGGCACAGGGCUGGGGGCAGCGUGGGACUGGGACAGAUGCUGGUGUCCAGAAGGACCGCAGAGGAAGAGCCAUCCCACCACACAGGUUCUGGUGUCACAGAAGCGUGAGGUCACAGCCCGUGACACUGUGGCCACCAGCAGUGCCAAGAACAGCCCCCAGCACCUCUCCCCACAGCUUUGCAUUGCCAUCCAAGGCCCCAAAAUGAAACCAGCUGCACCCCAGGAGGCUGGAGACCCAAGGGACAAGCCCUGCCCGCUGUGCACCAUGGAGCAGAAAAGCCGCCUCUGGAAAGCACUGAAGUCACUGGCGCUGCUUCGGCUGCUGAGGAGCACAAACCGCAGGGUGCAUCGGCUGCA
ensembl:lncRNA